rnacentral:rRNA from 2 species
ACAUUUGGAAGAGGCUGUGUGGCCACCUGGUCCCAGCAGACCCUAGAGAACAACCACAUUUGCUGCUGCUGGAACAAGGUCAUUAAGGGUGAAGCCUGGUGCCAGAUGUG